rnacentral:rRNA from 1 species
GACGAACGCUGGCGGCGUGCCUAACACAUGCAAGUCGAACGGAGUACGACUUCGGUUAUACUUAGUGGCGAACGGGUGAGUAACGCGUGAGAAACCUGCCUUUCAGUGGGGGACAACGGUUGGAAACGACUGCUAAUACCGCAUAAUGUUAUUUGGGGGCAUCCCUGAAUAACCAAAGCUUUAUGUGCUGAAAGAUGGUCUCGCGUCUGAUUAGCUAGAUGGCGGGGUAACGGCCCACCAUGGCGACGAUCAGUAGCCGGUCUGAGAGGAUGAACGGCCACAUUGGGACUGAGAUACGGCCCAGACUCCUACGGGAGGCAGCAGUGGGGAAUAUUGGGCAAUGGGGGAAACCCUGACCCAGCAACGCCGCGUGAAGGAAGAAGGCCUUCGGGUUGUAAACUUCUUUUACCAGGGACGAAAAAAUGACGGUACCUGGAGAAAAAGCAACGGCUAACUACGUGCCAGCCGCCGCGGUAAGAC